UCUGAUGUGUACCUUAUUCUCGUUUCCUUCCUUUUGAAUACACUCCUUAAAAUUAUAUUUUAGGGAUCAAAGUGUUUCAAAUCUUUUACUGUGAAGAAAUUAGAGUGUUCAAGGCAGGCGUAAUCUAGCCUUUGAAUAUAUUAGCAUGGGAUAAUGAAAUAGGACUUUAGUCCUACUUUCGUUGGUUUCUAGGGCUAAAGUAAUGAUUAAUAGGGAUAGUUGGGGUCACUAGUAUUUAAUUGUCAGAGGUGAAAUUCUAAGAUUUAUUAAAGACUAACUACUGCGAAAGCAUUUGACAAGGAUGUUUUCAUUAAUCAAGAACGAAAGUUGGGGGAUCGAAGAUGAUCAGAUACCGUCGUAGUCUCAACCAUAAACUAUGCCGACCAAGGAUCCGGGGGUGUUAAAUAUGGAUGACUCUCCGGGCACUUAUAGAGAAAUCAUAAGUAUUUGGGCUCCGGGGGGAGUAUGGUCGCAAGGCUGAAACUUAAAGGAAUUGACGGAAGGGCACCACAAGGAGUGGAACCUGCGGUUUAAUUUGACUCAACACGGGGAAACUUACCAGGUCCAGACACAGUGAGGAUUGACAGAUUGAGAGUUCUUUCUUGAUUCUGUGAGUGGUGGUGCAUGGCCGUUUCUAGUUGGUGGAGCGAUUUGUCUGGUUAAUUCCGUUAACGAACGAGACCUUAACCUAUUAAAUAGUUGCUUGAACACAUGAAUAAUUUAUUCUUUGUUCGGUUAACUUCUUAGAGGGACUCUUCAC
rnacentral:rRNA from 1 species